GUCGUCUUUGCAGCUGAGAUGAUCCAUUCCAAUGAUUGCAGAGAUCCACCUUAUUUCCGGCUAUAAAAGGAACGAAUGAAAAUUGCCGCCAUUUUGUUGAGACGUCAUGGAUUAUGGAUUCCCCUGUCGUUUGCAGCUCAUCGUUUUUUUAUUAUUUUUGACGAAAUUCAUCUGGUGUUGGACUAUAAAAGAUUGGUUCAAUAAAUAGAAUAAACGUCCUCUAGUGGAAUAAAAUAGAAAAUUGACAAUUUUCUCAACUUCCUCCAUUUUCUUUGUUGUUGUUUAUCGUCAUUCAUCGAAGUCUAUUGUUUCACCCUAUCAGUUUUUUGACGAAAAUCCCAUCAUUCCAGGAUAUAAAAAGAUUCUAUCCUCGAUGGCCAGUGCGGUGUCACGUCCUUCAAAGAUAAGGGCAAAGGAAAAAAGGGUAUCUUAUCUUCAAGGACACAGAAUUCACCAUAUUCUCCAGUUUCAGACUUUUUAGAACUCGGUCUAUUUUGACAGUUAUUUUUCACAUUUUCUAAAUGGAAAUUUAACUUGAAAGUAGGGAUCUCCGAGGGCUAUUUAGUUUGAAAAAAUCUUCUUGAAGCUGAGAAUUCAUCAUUAAGCAUACAAAGCAUCUUUAAAUGGAGAGACGUCGUCGUUGCAGUGAGAGAACGCUUUUAAAUCUCCAUUUUUCCCCAAGACGUGGAAUUUCGUUCACAGAGGUAUGAUUUUGUAAUUACAUUUAAUUUCCUCUUGUCACUGUUAAAUGUUACCGCACGUAGAGCUAAUAUAAGCCAGCACUAAUGAAGGCUGUAUAUGCGCACAUGGUCGACAGUGUCCAGUGUCUAAAUGUAUAGUCCCAACACAGAAAACUUGUUUUUAAAAGGGUUUCAGUUAUAACUAGCCAAUGAUUUACAUCGAAAGUAUUUUUGUACGAUC